rnacentral:rRNA from 1 species
UACGGGGGGAGCAAGCGUUGUUCGGAUUUACUGGGCGUAAAGGGCGCGUAGGCGGCCAGCACAAGUCAGUUGUGAAAUCUCCGAGCUUAACUCGGAAAGGUCAACUGAUACUGUGCGGCUAGAGUGCGGAAGGGGCAACUGGAAUUCUUGGUGUAGCGGUGAAAUGCGUAGAUAUCAGGAGGAACACCAAUGGCGAAGGCAGCUCGCUGGGACGGUACUGACGCUGAGGCGCGAAAGCGUGGGGAGCAAACAGG